GGAGAGGUGUCCGAGUGGUUUAUGGUGCCGCUCUCGAAAAGCGGUGUUGCUGAAUGGCAACCGUGGGUUCGAAUCCCACCCUCUCCG
rnacentral:tRNA from 1 species